CAGGUCUGUGAUGCCCUUAGAUGUCCUGGGCUGCACGCGCGCUACACUGAUGCGUUCAACGAGUCUAUGACCUUGCCGGAAACGGUUGGGUAAUCUUUUUAAAUCGCAUCGUGAUGGGGAUAGAUUAUUGCAAUUAUUGAUCUUCAACGAGGAAUUCCUAGUAAGCGCGAGUCAUCAGCUCGUGCUGAUUACGUCCCUGCCCUUUGUACACACCGCCCGU
rnacentral:rRNA from 1 species